AGAGUUUGAUCCUGGCUCAGGACGAACGCUGGCGGCGUGCCUAAUACAUGCAAGUCGAGCGAAUCAUUAGAAGCUUGCUCCUUUUGGUUAGCGGCGGACGGGUGAGUAACACGUGGGCAACCUGCCUGUAAGACUGGGAUAACACCGGGAAAACCGGUGCUAAUACCGGAUAAUCCUUUCCCUCACAUGAGGGGAAAGCUGAAAGACGGUUUCGGCUGUCACUUCAGAUGGGCCCGCGGCGCAUUAGCUAGUUGGUGAGGUAACGGCUCACCAAGGGCGACGAUGCGUAGCCGACCUGAGAGGGUGAUCGGUCACACUGGGACUGAGACCACGGCCCAGACUCCUACGGGAGGCAGCAGUAGGGAAUCUUCCGCAAUGGACGAAAGUCUGACGGAGCAACGCCGCGUGAGCGAUGAAGGCCUUCGGGUCGUAAAGCUCUGUUGUUAGGGAAGAACAAGUAUCGGAGUAACUGCCGGUACCUUGACGGUACCUAACCAGAAAGCCACGGCUAACUACGUGCCAGCAGCCGCGGUAAUACGUAGGUGGCAAGCGUUGUCCGGAAUUAUUGGGCGUAAAGCGCGCGCAGGCGGUCCUUUAAGUCUGAUGUGAAAGCCCACGGCUCAACCGUGGAGGGUCAUUGGAAACUGGGGGACUUGAGUGCAGAAGAGGAAAGUGGAAUUCCACGUGUAGCGGUGAAAUGCGUAGAGAUGUGGAGGAACACCAGUGGCGAAGGCGACUUUCUGGUCUGUAACUGACGCUGAGGCGCGAAAGCGUGGGGAGCAAACAGGAUUAGAUACCCUGGUAGUCCACGCCGUAAACGAUGAGUGCUAAGUGUUAGAGGGUUUCCGCCCUUUAGUGCUGCAGCUAACGCAUUAAGCACUCCGCCUGGGGAGUACGGCCGCAAGGCUGAAACUCAAAGGAAUUGACGG
rnacentral:rRNA from 1 species